rnacentral:tRNA from 1 species
GGGCCUAUAGCUCAGUCGGUUAGAGCAGCGGACUCAUAAUCCGUUGGUCCACAGUUCGAGUCUGUGUGGGCUCA